UGGGGAAUAUUGCACAAUGGGGGAAAGACCCUGAUGCAGCGACGCCGCGUGAGCGAAGAAGUAUUUCGGUAUGUAAAGCUCUAUCAGCAGGGAAGAAAAUGACGGUACCUGACUAAGAAGCCCCGGCUAACUACGUGCCAGCAGCCGCGGUAAUACGUAGGGGCGAAGCGUUAUCCGGAUUUACUGGGUGUAAAGGGAGCGCAGGCGGUCUUGCAAGUCUGAUGUGAAAGCCCGCGGCUCAACCGCGGGACUGCAUUGGAAACUGUAGGACUUGAGUGUCGGAGGGGCAAGUGGAAUUCCUAGUGUAGCGGUGAAAUGCGUAGAUAUUAGGAGGAACACCAGUGGCGAAGGCGGCUCUCUGGGCCUGACCUGACGCUGAGGAGCGAAAGCGUGGGGAGCAAACAGGAUUAGAUACC
rnacentral:rRNA from 1 species